rnacentral:rRNA from 1 species
CUGGUUGAUCCUGCCAGUGGUCAUACGCUUGUCUCAAAGAUGAAGCCAUGCAUGUCUCAAUGUAAGCUUCUAUACGGUGAAACUGCGAAUGGCUCAUUAAAACAAUUACAAUUAAUGUGAUGUUUACUCCUUACAUGGACAACUGUGGUAACUCUAGAGCUAAUACAUGCUCCCAAACCUGACUCCGUGGAAGGUUUGUGUUUAUUAAUUACAGAACCAACCCAGGCUCUGCCUGGUCUUGUGGUGGUUCAUAGUAACUGAAUGAAUCGCAUUGCAUCAGCUGGCGAUGAGUCAUUCAAGU